UACAUCUCCAAAGAUGGAGCCCCUGGACGGAAUUCUGGGAGAAACCCUUGGGAGAGCAAAGGCCUUAGAUGCCCUUAGAGUAGCACACCGAAGGCCCAGACGUGCUAGCGACCUACAGCCCCAGUUUGAGUUACCAUGGUAGACACCGUUCAAGGCACACUCACUACCAUAUUAUGAUGAAGUAAGAGGCAGGACACCCCUAGCCCCUACCCCCUCCCCUGUUUCACGUUCUCAC